rnacentral:rRNA from 1 species
CCUACGGGGGGCUGCAGUGGGGAAUAUUGGACAAUGGGGGCAACCCUGAUCCAGCCAUGCCGCGUGUGUGAAGAAGGCCCUCGGGUUGUAAAGCACUUUCAGUGAGGAAGAACGCCUGGUGGUUAAUACCCAUCAGGAAAGACAUCACUCACAGAAGAAGCACCGGCUAACUCCGUGCCAGCAGCCGCGGUAAUACGGAGGGUGCGAGCGUUAAUCGGAAUUACUGGGCGUAAAGCGCGCGUAGGUGGCUUGAUAAGCCGGUUGUGAAAGCCCCGGGCUCAACCUGGGAACGGCAUCCGGAACUGUCAAGCUAGAGUGCAGGAGAGGAAGGUAGAAUUCCCGGUGUAGCGGUGAAAUGCGUAGAGAUCGGGAGGAAUACCAGUGGCGAAGGCGGCCUUCUGGACUGACACUGACACAGAGGUGCGAAAGCGUGGGUAGCAAACAGGAUUAGAUACCCUAGUAGUC